rnacentral:lncRNA from 1 species
UGUAACUGACUGAACCUAAGAUGUAGUACCAGCUCUGACUUAACCCCAGCCAAAGGGCUGGGGCCUUGUAAGUAAAAUGAACAUUUAGCAAUUGUAAUAGCCAUUUGUGUAACAUUUAGUAACCUUUUGUAAGUAAUUUGUUGUAGUUUUGUAUUGUAUCAUAAUUGUAGUAAAUUGACAUUCUGCUAGCAUCUGUUUAUUUGUUAUAGUUAUAUUAAAUAUACAUUUAAUUAGUUUUGUAUUGUAUCAUAAUUGUAGUAAAUUGACAUUCUGCUAGCAUCUGUUUAUUUGUUAUAGUUAUAUUAAAUAUACAUUUAAUAUUACAACGUUUUGUGUAUUUUCUAUACACAUAUUCGACCAUAAUACCAUGAAUUAUAAAAAUAUUAAUGUUCCGUAUUGCUUAAUUAUUAUGUAUUAAGAGAUUAAUAUUCAUAUUUAGGUCAUGACCACAACAGUGCACAAUGUAAAUAAUCCACACUUUUUGUAUAAGAGACUGCUGUCCUCUACCUUUUAUCCUAGAGGACCGUGUUGCUUUGCACAUGAAAGGUCACAGCACAUUUAAAUUGGCUCACUUAUUUGCUUGAUUUGCAUGAGCAAGCAUGGCCUUCUUAAGUACUUUUAUGGCCCUGAACAAGGCCGAUAUCUGUACUCUGAUCUUACAGGACUCCUCCACCAUUAAAUUGGUGCUCAAUAUAUUACAUUUUGAGUUAGGAUUGGUUAUGCUUUUAUAAAUUGGUGUGGAAUGUCUAGGAUCCUAACUGGACCAACAAUCUUUCAAAAACCUUAUACUUUUUUGUUUAAUAUGCAUAUUUCUAGCCACUUGGAUGGAACAAAAUGGUGGUGCCCAGAUAUUCAGAUCUGACUUGAGGACAGAAAGAUAAUAAAUAUAUUUAAAGGCAAGUAUAAUCACAUAGAUACAGUGGGCAUAAGGAAAGGAGAACUGAAAAAAAAAAAAAGAUAAACAUGGCAGUAUUCUUUCCACAUUCUAUGUUAAUAGUAAC